CAAGUCGAACGGCAGCAUAGAGAGCUUGCUCUCUGAUGGCGAGUGGCGAACGGGUGAGUAAUAUAUCGGAACGUGCCUAGUAAUGGGGAAUAACUAGCUGAAAGGUUAGCUAAUGCCGCAUACGACCUACGGGUGAAAGCAGGGGAUCUUCGGACCUUGCGUUAUUAGAGCGGCCGAUAUCUGAUUAGCUUGUUGGUGGGGUAAUGGCCUACCAAGGCGACGAUCAGUAGCUGGUCUGAGAGGACGAUCGGCCACACUGGAACUGAGACACGGUCCAGACUCCUACGGGAGGCAGCAGUGGGGAAUUUUGGACAAUGGGGGCAACCCUGAUCCAGCCAUUCCGCGUGAGUGAAGAAGGCCUUCGGGUUGUAAAGCUCUUUCGCAAGAGAAGAAAACUUGCUAUCUAAUAAAUAGUAAGCAUGACGGUAUCUUGACAAGAAGCACCGG
rnacentral:rRNA from 1 species